rnacentral:miRNA from 1 species
CAGUGGAUGGAUCGGAAGGGA